AGACCCGAAACCCGGUGAUCUAGCCAUGGGCAGGUUGAAGGUUGGGUAACACUAACUGGAGGACCGAACCGACUAAUGUUGAAAAAUUAGCGGAUGACCUGUGGCUGGGGGUGAAAGGCCAAUCAAACCGGGAGAUAGCUGGUUCUCCCCGAAAGCUAUUUAGGUAGCGCCUCGUGAAUUCAUCUCCGGGGGUAGAGCACUGUUUCGGCUAGGGGGUCAUCCCGACUUACCAACCCGAUGCAAACUGCGAAUACCGGAGAAUGUUAUCACGGGAGACACACGGCGGGUGCUAACGUCCGUCGUGAAGAGGGAAACAACCCAGACCGCCAGCUAAGGUCCCAAAGUCAUGGUUAAGUGGGAAACGAUGUGGGAAGGCCCAGACAGCCAGGAUGUUGGCUUAGAAGCAGCCAUCAUUUAAAGAAAGCGUAAUAGCUCACUGGUCGAGUCGGCCUGCGCGGAAGAUGUAACGGGGCUAAACCAUGCACCGAAGCUGCGGCAGCGACGCUUAUGCGUUGUUGGGUAGGGGAGCGUUCUGUAAGCCUGUGAAGGUGGCCUGUGAGGGUUGCUGGAGGUAUCAGAAGUGCGAAUGCUGACAUAAGUAACGAUAAAGCGGGUGAAAAGCCCGCUCGCCGGAAGACCAAGGGUUCCUGUCCAACGUUAAUCGGGGCAGGGUGAGUCGACCCCUAAGGCGAGGCCGAAAGGCGUAGUCGAUGGGAAACGGGUUAAUAUUCCCGUACUUGGUGUUACUGCGAAGGGGGGACGGAGAAGGCUAUGUUGGCCGGGCGACGGUUGUCCCGGUUUAAGCGUGUAGGUGUGUGUUCCAGGUAAAUCCGGUUCACUUUAACACUGAGGCGUGAUGACGAGGCACUACGGUGCUGAAGCAACAAAUGCCCUGCUUCCAGGAAAAGCCUCUAAGCAUCAGGUAACAUCAAAUCGUACCCCAAACCGACACAGGUGGUCAGGUAGAGAAUACCAAGGCGCUUGAGAGAACUCGGGUGAAGGAACUAGGCAAAAUGGUGCCGUAACUUCGGGAGAAGGCACGCUGACACGUAGGUGAAGUGAUUUACUCA
rnacentral:rRNA from 1 species